CGCGGCCUAUCAGCUUGUUGGUGAGGUAACGGCUCACCAUGGCGACGACGGGUAGCUGGUCUGAGAGGACGAUCAGCCACACUGGAACUGAGACACGGUCCAGACACCUACGGGUGGCAGCAGACGAGAAUCAUUCACAAUGGGCGCAAGCCUGAUGGUGCAACGCCGCGUGGAGGAUGACGGCCCUCGGGUUGUAAACUCCUGCCAUCUGGGAGUAAGCCUUGUUCGUUAAUAGCGUGCAAGGUUGAUAGUACCAGAAGAGGAAGGGACGGCUAACUUCGUGCCAGCAGCCGCGGUAAUACGAAGGUCCCAAGCGUUGUUCGGAAUCACUGGGCGUAAAGCGUGCGUAGGCGGCAAGGUAAGUCAGAUGUGAAGUCUUCGGGCUCAACCCGGAAACUGCAUCCGAUACUGCCAUGCUAGAGUAAUGGAGGGGUGACUGGAAUUCUCGGUGUAGCAGUGAAAUGCGUAGAUAUCGAGAGGAACACUCGUGGCGAAGGCGAGUCACUGGACAUUUACUGACGCUGAGGCACGAAGGCCAGGGGAGCGAAAGGGAUUAGAUACCCCUGUAGUCCUGGCAGUAAACGGUGCGCGCUUGGUGUGGGAGGAUUCGACCCCUUCCGUGCCGGAGCUAACGCGUUAAGCGCCCCGCCUGGGGAGUACGG
rnacentral:rRNA from 1 species